CAGGAUGAUUUGCUAAUAUAUGAACGUAAGAUAAAAUUAAUAUAAGACAAUUUGUAUACAGAUUGCUGUUUAAGGGAAUUAUGUAUAAAUAUUCGAUUUUCAUUUAUUCUGCCCUAAUUUGAGAAAUUUGGAUAUAGAAGCCAACAAAAGCAUUCUGUAACUUGCUCGGGCAAAUUAGAAGGACACAUUUCACAUUUGUAACAAAUUGUAGUUAUGGCACUAUAAAUAAAACUAAACACUCUGCUAACAGCUAUUUAUAAGGAAUCUGCUGAUAUGAGCAUUCCCAAAAAUACAGCAGAAUGUAAAAAAAUACGUCUGUAUGUAGGCAUUAUGCAAACAUUUUUCAGUAAACAGAGUUGCCUGGCAACCACAUAAUCUACAUUGACAGGUAUUUCAAGCAUUACAACAGCUUUUAUGUAUGCUCAAUAAGCUUAGAACUCUUCCAGAUAAGUUCCAAUAAAUUUUGAGGGUGGUUAAAAAAAGUCCAAAUAAUAGCUACGACAACUGAACUUUUUG